AAGUCGUAACAAGGUUUCCGUAGGUGAACCUGCGGAAGGAUCAUUAUUAAUGGAAAAAAAAGAGUUGCUGCUUUUUUCUUGCACUGUAAGAAUUCGGCAGUAACUUUUUCUUCCUUGUGAACUGGGGACUCUCUCCAAACCUUUCUUGUGUUUUGUGUUUUUGCUUUCUAUAUUGGAAAGAGAAAAUAAAACAACAAGGGAGGAGGGGGGGGUUUGUCCCGUUGCUUUUUUUUUGUUUGACGUUUGUAUUUUUUUUUUUAUAUCUUGAGAUUUACUCUUGUAAAUCAACCAAGACAACUUUCAGCAAUGGAUCUCUUGGCUCUU
rnacentral:misc_RNA from 1 species